AAAGUCGUAACAAGGUUUCCGUAGGUGAACCUGCGGAAGGAUCAUUAAUGAAACGCGAGGCGAGGUUGUAGCUGGUCCCCGAAGGGGGCAACGUGCACGCCUCGUCCAUGUCUCUCUCUCACCCCUGUGCACCUUUGCGUUGGGUCCCGUUGGUUCGGGGCUCACGUCCUUUUCGUAAAACACGCAUGUACCAGAACGUCACACCUUUUCGUUAUUAUACAACUUUCAACAACGGAUCUCUUGGCUCUCGCAUCGAUGAAGAACGCAGCGAAAUGCGAUAAGUAAUGUGAAUUGCAGAAUUCAGUGAAUCAUCGAAUCUUUGAACGCACCUUGCGCCCCUUGGUAUUCCGAAGGGCACACCUGUUUGAGUAUCGUGAAAUCAUCAACCCUUUCACGUCGUUGAAGGGCUUGGACUUUGGAGGUCUUUGCUGGUCCCUCGGGGAUCGGCUCCUCUUGAAUGCAUUUAGUGGAGCGUCGUUCCUGUUGUCAGCCCGCCCUUCGGUGUGAUAAUUCAUCCGCAUCGAUCGAGUUGAACAAAGGUUCGAACGUGUUGCUUUUUGAUCUCAAAUCAGGUGGGACUACCCGCUGAACUUAAGCAUAUCAAUAAGCGGAGGAAAAGAAACUAACGAGGAUUCCCCUAGUAACUGCGAGUGAAGCGGGAAAAGCUCAAAUUUGUAAUCUGGCGGUCUCUGGCCGUCCGAGUU
rnacentral:rRNA from 1 species